rnacentral:rRNA from 1 species
UACAGGGGGUGCAAACGUUGCUCGGAAUCAUUGGGCGUAAAGCGCACGUAGGCGGUCUGUUAUGUCGGAUGUAAAAGCCCUCGGCUCAACUGAGGAAGUGCAUCCGAAACUGGCAGGCUAGAGUACUAAAGAGGGUCGCGGAAUUCCCGGUGUAGAGGUGAAAUUCGUAGAUAUCGGGAGGAACACCGGUGGCGAAGGCGGCGACCUGGGUAGAUACUGACGCUGAGGUGCGAAAGCGUGGGGAGCAAACAGG